rnacentral:misc_RNA from 1 species
ACCAACAUCAUCCUCAUCUUUAUCAUCAGCAUCAACAUCAUCAUCAUCAACCACAGCAACAACAUCACUAAGAAAGCACCAACAGCAGCAGCGGUAGAGGCCAGGCUAGAUUAGUGCCAGCUUAGAACGGUACUCGCAUGUGUUGCAGCGGCGCUGGCACGAAAAACUGCUGCAGUUCUUCUUGUUGUUGUUGCUGCUGCUGCUGCUGCUGUUGUUGUUGUUGUUAUUGUUAGUAAAAGAUGGCUUGGCAGACAAUCUGUCCUCUUUAUGUGGACAUCUUCUUACUGGUGGCAGUGGCUAACAUCACUGGAUUAUGGGCCACAACGGCGGCCUCACGGAACAUCAAGAUAGGUGGUAUAUUCGACACCGAUUCACUGACCACAGCUAUUCGCUAUGCCAUGCGAACCAACGUGAAAGCCAAUCAUAUGAUAAUUCAAGAAACUGUUGAUAUAAUCGAUACUUCUGAUGCCUAUAACCUUAGCAGUGCCAUUUGCUCUCAGUCGGCUAUGGGUAUUUUCGCACUUUUUAUACUAAACAACCCAAUUUCCCAUCAUGUUGUUCAAGCAUAUAGUAAUGCUUUGCAUCUACCCGUAUUCGUUCUGAAUGUAGCUACAAGACAUCAACUGCCAAGUUAUCCAUUUGAGAUACAUAUGAGCCCGUCCUAUAUGCCAGCCAUCACAGAGCUGAUCAACUUCUAUCGGUGGAGGCGAAUUUUCUACAUUUUCGAUUCAGAUGAUGGUUUAAUUCAUCUUCAACAUAUCUACGACUCUUUCAAUAAUUCGUCAGACCCACUUGAGGUUGUGGUACGUCGUGUUGAUGACAUAGAAAACACACAUAAAAUGUUACGACAGCUCGAUCAACUAGAGGGAGCCACUCGUAAUAUAGUCGUCGUGAUGUCAUCAACGUCAGCUUACCGGCGCCUUCUUCACAAGAUUAUGGAUGUCGGAAUGAACAAAGACCAUUACCAUUAUAUUCUCGGUGGGUUGAGCAUUGCAGAACUUGAUUUGAGAAACUUCACCUACGGAGGAGUGACCAUUACUGGAUUCCAAAUUGUAAAUCGAAAUAGUCCAUCAUUAAAACAGUUACAACACAAUUGGAAUCAGUUAAGUACAGACCUUUGGUCUGGCGCAGGACAAAAACUGUCAUAUGAUGAAGUAGCGAUAUUCGACAGCAUUAGUACUCUUUUAAGCGCUUUGGAGAUAAUGUACCGCGACGAUUCGAACGUAUUUUCAGGCGCUAGUGGAAGGGGUAGGCUGUGGAAUAAUACCAAUAGUGUCCACUGCACACCCUACCCUUUGGUGUCGUGGGUGCUGGGGGACAAAAUUGUGAAAGCCAUCAAACAGGUAAAUUUCACUGGACUCACUGGCACGGUAUCCUUUGACGACAACCUUCAACGAAAGAAUGUUAAGCUAGACGUGUUGCAGUUAAGUUAUGGAAAACCGUUACAAAAUAUAGGAGAAUGGACUGAUGAAACAGGGCUCGACAUUAGAUUGGAACGUCCCCCAGAUAUGGACAAAACAAUAAUUGAAAUAAACAACACAAAGAUAAUGUCUACGAUUAAAGUGCCUCCAUUCUUGAUGUAUAAAGUCCGCCACGAAGCCGGUGAGCCGUUAGUCGGAAACGCUCGUUUCGAAGGCUACGUCGUAGAUCUAGCAGCCAAAAUAGCAGAUCAGUUUCCCAUGGAUUACAUCAUCAAAAUUGUAGAAGACGGUCACUAUGGAGCCCUUACCGUCAAUGGGACUUGGAACGGUAUGAUGGGAGAACUCACGCGACACGAAGUAGAUUUAGUAAUAGCCCCCUUAACUAUCACAUGCAUGCGGGAAAGAGCAGCAGACUUUUCAAAACCCUUUAUGAAAACCGGUAUAAGCAUUAUGAUAAAAAAACCCGAUAAGCAGAAACCCAGUGUCUUCUCGUUCAUGGACCCGUUAUCUCAACAGGUUUGGAUUUGCAUAACCAUUGGUUAUGUAGCUGUGAGCUUGGUGCUGUUCUUUGUGGGACGUUUCAGUCCCUAUGAAUGGCACUCAGAAGAUACAAGUCGAGGACCAAAAACAAUGAACACAUUCAAUCUAUCCAACACGUUUUGGUUCUCACUUGGCGCACUCAUGCAGCAAGGCUCCGAGAUAUCACCGCGGUCCAUAUCCGGGCGGAUAGUCGGUACUGGAUGGUGGUUUUUUACAUUGAUCAUUAUUUCAUCUUACACCGCUAAUUUAGCGGCUUUCCUCACCAUUGAGCGACUUCUUCCUCCAAUUAAUUCUGCCAAAGAUUUGGUCGAACAGAAAAAAAUUCAGUAUGGGACAAUCAAAUCUGGCUCAACAGAAGAAUUUUUCCAGAGAUCACAAGUGUCUAUCUAUCGAAGAAUUUGGGAUGUGAUGUCACAGGACACGAGCGUAUUUGUCUCCAAUACUAGCAAAGCCGUUGAACGAGUUCGAAAUUCGAAAGGAACGUAUGCAUUUUUCCUGGAAUCUGUUAUGAACGAUUACUUUAACCAGAGAAAACCAUGCAAUACUAUGAAAGUUGGUGAGAAUCUUGACUCAAAAGGUUACGGCGUGGCAACACCGAUGAAUUCACCUCUUCGGAUGCCAAUAAAUCUAGCUGUUCUCGUUUUACGUGAAAAGGGAGAACUACAUAAACUGGAGAAGAAAUGGUGGUAUGACAAAGGACAAUGCGGUCAGCCAGAUAAAGAAUCUUCAAAGACCAGUGCACUUCGAUUGAGUAAUGUGUCCGGAAUAUUUCAUAUCCUCAUAGCGGGCCUGGUAGCCGCUAUGCUCGUUGCUCUCUUGGAAUACUUAUUUCAUUCAAAAAUGAGGUCAAGAAAAAACAAGCAAAUGGCGAAGAAAGCUAAAAAUGUAAAGCGUGCUCGAAGAGCGUCAAUGCGAUAUACCGGGGGAUAUGCAGAACCUGAAAAUGGAGGUUACACGUACACAGCACCUAACCAGAUGAUAACUUUUGAUGGGUACACAGACGGUUACCAGACGGAGAUCUAGGGAUCCAAUGAUGAGGAUGAAGCAGCACCCACGACAACAGAAAACAAGGCUUUUUAUUCGCCCGAAAUGCCUUACUGGAGUUCAGCAAUAUAGCUGGAAGUAAAAUUUCAGACAUUGGAUGCAGCUGCGCAGAGAUAUAGUCUCUACAAGACUUAGUGGAUACCGUUGCCCGCAGUUCAGUCUGGCAUUCGUUUAUUCUACUUACGAAAUGGUUAAGUUGCAUUCGAGAAUAAAUGCGUACGAAUCCACACAAAGAUUGACACUGCUAUACACAGCAAUCCUGAGACACUCACACAUAUAUACACAGAAAUACAUACAUAUACAUAUAUAUAUAUAUAUAUAUA